ACAUUGUUUCAGCCAGGUACAUUAUGGUCACGCCACCUGAGCAACUUUGCAAAGUUGUCACUGUGAAUGCAUUGGUCCACGUGCGAGAGGGUUUUUUAGUAAAAUGCCUUUUUUUUCCAUUUCGGCAAAAAUGUGAUGGCAGGUUGUUGAGAGCAAUGCGCAGCCAGCUGUGAAAUUUCGUUUCCUGUUGGGAAAUCGGCUGUGGAAACUAUUUUAGUGCUUAAGCUGGCCUAUGGGGCUGCUGCCCUAAGUAAAACCAGAGUCUACGAGUGGUUUUGGCAUUUUAAAAAUGGAGAAAUGCCAGUUGAAUACCAACCCAUCCAGGAUGCCCCUCAGUGUCAAGAAGUGACGAAAAAGUUAAGUCAGUGAUCGACUGUGUGAGAUGUCUGCAAUAUGAUGGAGUUCAAUUCAGAGGGUUUUAUUCGAAGAUUUGCAUACGAGAAUGGUUGUAGCCAAUGAUCAAAGGGAGCGUCAACUUCAGGCGUGUUUUGAGCUUCAGAAUCAGCUCAAAGAGGACCCCUGAAAUUUUCUGAGAUGAUUACUGGUGGUGAAUUGUUGUGCUAUGGCUACGACCCCGUAACGAAGCAGCAAUCGAGCCAGUGGAUGAUGAGUGGCACUGAUUAUCCAACACCACCAUCACCACCACCCCGUACUCACUAGAUGUCAUUUUGUUCCCCAGACUCAAAAGGGACAUGAAAGGAAAUUGUUUUGCUACUGUGGAGGAGGUAAAACAAAAAUCACUCGAAGGCAUAAAGAACAUCCCGAUAAGUGAAUAUCAACAAUGGAAUGGUUGUUUGAAGUGCAUUGUGGUCAGUGGAGAAUACUUUGAAGCCGAUCAAAAUAUGGGGUAAAAAUAUUAAGAAAUAAAGACAAUACGACGAAUUUCCAGACAUUAUGAAGACUUUCUUGUGGUGGUUUUUCUCUUCCAACCACCCCUCUCUCCCUUGUAUAGUACUAGCACUUUGUGCUUGGUACUUGCAAAUACUAUCCCCACUACACUGUUUUUCCUCUGGUAGGUGCCGAAAUGUGAUGUGGGACUGCAACACUCGGCUCAGACACUAAAAUUGGAGGAAGCUUUGCCGACAAAUUUCGAAGAGAACCGUGCCACCAGCAUUCGGAAGAUGGCACAGGCACUGUACACGGGUAAGGGUGCUGCGUGAUGCACUGUCUACAAAAAGUCCAGGCAUUACAGCCGGAAGACUAGCCACGACGGAUGAAAUUUGUGCAGUGGUAUUUUUCAACAAUGCAUACUCCAGCCACAAUUCCUGAGCUUGGUACCAUUUAUAGAUAAAAGCACAUUUCCUAGGUGUGGCAUAUUAAGCCUAAACAACAUGCACUUUUGAGCAGACGAAAAUCCAUAUGCACAUGAUUCAAAAUUGUCAACGCACAUAAAGUAGAGAUGUGUUGUCUACCCUAUUGGAUGUAGUGCCACUAAAAUCUUCGGAUGGACACGUGCUGCCAAACGCUGGAGCUCCGGCACACUUAGAUGCCAAUGUGCAGAAUCACCUGAACAUCACAUACUCUAAUUGUAGAGAGCAUGACGUGCUACUCGUGUUGGACUGAUUGACAUAAUGUGGAACACAUACCCAUCUCAGUUUUAGACACUCACCAGCACCCAAGCCGUGUGUUACUGGAUAUGGGUUCCUUCUUGAAAACCGAUCAUUGUGCCUUCCUGCACAACAUACUAAGUGUUACCUAUGUUUUGGGACACCCUGUAUGCACAGUUCGAUCAUUCGUUCGUUGUGGCUAUUGGCAUCGCGGAUUCCAGAGCAAUUAAAUUGUCCAGGGUGCUGUUCAGUGCGUGUCUCGUGGACAGCAUGUCGUUUAAGAAAAUGCUUAAUUUUGUCAUCAUGGCUGUUUGCAUGAUGGAGUCCAAAGCAGUUAAAUUGUCCAGGAUGCUGUUUUGUGACAGAAAUCCCUCGUGGUGGCAGCUCUGAAGUCCUCCUCGGUGCUCUGUGCAGCGUCGGUAGCUCUUUGCACACCUGCUGCAACAUAGGCACAUUUGCCGAUAAACUCCAACUGCAGCACACCGUCCGAGGCGUACUUCAAACAAAUAAUAAACAGCAAAACAAAGUUUUGGACUAAAACAGGAUAUCGUUGGUUAGCGGUACGGCCAGUGUGGAGACGGGAAAUGGUGCGGAUACUCGGGCCACUGCAGCAAUACGAACUGUCUGCGGUGACUUCUCACCCAGCCUCAAAUGUGUCGGAGAGUGGCAAGUGACUAGGAACCCAGCCACUUGGUGUCUGAGGCAGACUGACUGACUUCACUGUGUCCAAAGUAGUGGGAAGCAUCAGCUAUUUGUGUUAAGGGUGGAUCUGAAUUUAUGUAUCCAUAUUUAUCCUUGAAAUAAAGUCUUAUGCAAUUGCUCA